GCUCAAAUUUGAAAUCUGGCCCUUGGGUCCGAAUUGUAAUUUGUAGAGGAUGAUUUUGGUGCGGUAUCUUCCGAGUUCCUUGGAACAGGACGCCUUAGAGGGUGAGAGCCCCGUACGGUUGAAUGCCUAGCCUCUGUAAAUCUCCUUCGACGAGUCGAGUAGUUUGGGAAUGCUGCUCUAAAUGGGAGGUAAAUUUCUUCUAAAGCUAAAUAUUGGCCAGAGACCGAUAGCGCACAAGUAGAGUGAUCGAAAGAUGAAAAGCACUUUGAAAAGAGGGUUAAAUAGCACGUGAAAUUGUUGAAAGGGAAGGAUUUGUGACCAGACUUUUUCUGGGCGGAUCAUCCGGGGUUCUCUCCGGUGCACUUCGCCCAGUAAAGGCCAGCAUCGGUUUUCGGCGUGGGAUAAAAGCAGUAGGAAUGUGGCUCUCUACGGGGAGUGUUAUAGCCUAUUGUAUAAUACCGCGCUGGGGACCGAGGUUCGCGCUUCUGCAAGGAUGCUGGCGUAAUGGUUAUCAAUCACCCGUCUUGAAACACGGACCAAGGAGUCGAACAUUUGUGCGAGUGUUUGGGUGUUAAACCCUCACGCGUAAUGAAAGUGAACGGAGGUGAGAGCCCUUACGGGUGCAUCAUCGACCGAUCCUGAAGUUUUCGGAUGGAUUUGAGUAAGAGCAUAACUGUUCGGACCCGAAAGAUGGUGAACUAUGCGUGGAUAGGGUGAAGCCAGAGGAAACUCUGGUGGAGGCUCGCAGCGGUUCUGACGUGCAAAUCGAUCGUCAAAUCUGCGCAUGGGGGCGAAAGACUAAUCGAACCAUCUAGUAGCUGGUUACCGCCGAAGUUUCCCUCAGGAUAGCAGUGUUGUCUUCAGUUUUAUGAGGUAAAGCGAAUGAUUAGGGACUCGGGGGCGCUUUUUAGCCUUCAUCCAUUCUCAAACUUUAAAUAUGUAAGAAGC
rnacentral:rRNA from 1 species